rnacentral:rRNA from 1 species
AGUGAACGCUGGCGGUAGGCCUAACACAUGCAAGUCGAACGGCAGCACAGUAAGAGCUUGCUCUUACGGGUGGCGAGUGGCGGACGGGUGAGGAAUACAUCGGAAUCUACUUUUUCGUGGGGGAUAACGUAGGGAAACUUACGCUAAUACCGCAUACGACCUACGGGUGAAAGCAGGGGAUCUUCGGACCUUGCGCGAUUGAAUGAGCCGAUGUCGGAUUAGCUAGUUGGCGGGGUAAAGGCCCACCAAGGCGACGAUCCGUAGCUGGUCUGAGAGGAUGAUCAGCCACACUGGAACUGAGACACGGUCCAGACUCCUACGGGAGGCAGCAGUGGGGAAUAUUGGGCAAUGGGCGCAAGCCUGAUCCAGCCAUACCGCGUGGGUGAAGAAGGCCUUCGGGUUGUAAAGCCCUUUCGUUGGGAAAGAAAAGCAGCAGGUUAAUACCCCGCUGUUCUGACGGUACCCAAAGAAUAAGCACCGGCUAACUUCGUG